UACGGAGGAUGCAAGCGUUAUCCGGAAUGAUUGGGCGUAAAGCGUCCGCAGGUGGCUAUGUAAGUCUGCUGUUAAAGAGUGAGGCUCAACCUCAUAAGAGCAGUGGAAACUACAUAGCUAGAGUGCGUUCGGGGCAGAGGGAAUUCCUGGUGUAGCGGUGAAAUGCGUAGAUAUCAGGAAGAACAUCGGUGGCGAAGGCGCUCUGCUGGACCAUAACUGACACUCAGGGACGAAAGCUAGGGGAGCGAAUGGG
rnacentral:rRNA from 1 species